CCUAGCGUCAGCUGUGAUCACAGUCGUCUUUCAUAUUUUUUUCACAAUUCCUUCGACUCUUUUUUAUAUCUGUCUUUCUGUAUAGAGAACACUCCACAACAUUUUCUGUCUGCCUCUGCGGCAUCAUAAUCUUCAUCCUUGCCGACGUUCAUCCAGGGGCGACAUUUCUUCCUUUAAGUGAGAUGCUAAGGCUAUGUCCCAUGGAUUCUGAGUUCCAUUCCUCUUCCUUCAUUAAAUUUUCUUUUUGUUUCUCCUCUGCAGGCUGGUUUUUGGAAGAAUCAGAGGGGGGUCAGACCACAUACUCAGAGGGUGGCCAUUCUCAGGUUUAGCCUUCAAAUAGAGCGAUUGUUUGUGGCGUCCCACAAUGUUCCACUUAUGAAUCUUUUGCACGUCCAUCUUGGCCUGGGUGUCUGAAGAUUAGAAGGCAGGCCUGAGAUCUCAAAAUAGCAUUACAUGGCUGUCAGAUCAAUUUUCACUCUAUUCUGCCUGUUUUAUUCUUUUCAUUCAGUUCUCUUGAUCGACCAUUUUUCAUACAGUAUAUGAAUUUUUCAAAUCAGAAUGAUUUUUAUUCCACCAGUAGAUCAGUGGAGUGCAAGGAUUUGAUGCCAUUGAGGUCAAGUACGCACUUUCCUGCAGACAGUUCUCAGAUGAGACCUUCCAAAAGUGUUUGAUUGUCUUGCUUCCAUCGAACACAAAAGGAGAUGUUAGGAGAAAAAAAAGUCAUUUGGACAGAGGAGCGUGUGUUCGGCUGAUCUGUCACUGGGGCCAGAGCGUGGGCACUGCAGGGGCGCUGGACAAUUACCACAACUCACACGGCAUCACCUCAAUCAGAAGUGGCCUGGAGCGCCACACUUUACUGUGGCUCUAUUUCUGGGUUGGUGCAAAGGUGAUACAUGCAAUGUCCUGUCAAUGACAAUUUCUGCCAGAUACAUUUGCCGAAAGCAAUAGCAGUAACAAAGAAAUUCUAAAAAGCUCUAUGGUAGUACUGUGUUUUUAGACAUGGUUUUUGGUAACGUGGUGAUGCCAAAGUCAUUUGGACCUAUCCCGGUAGCACCAUGAUGUUAAUUUAUGGGAAAUGUAAAUUAUUGAAUGUGAAUAUGUUGAAGUGUAACUCGACGAUUUUCAACCCACUUUGUAUUGUUUCAAUGUCAAUAGUAUAUGUAAAUGAACAAUGUUUACUCGUUCUCCGUGUUACCUGGACUAAGAAAUUCAUGUUUAUUUGUCAGCAAAAGUCCACCAGAUGACGCAAAACGCACCAGCUUUCAUGAAAACUACAGACUUCCGACUGUCAGAUCGACAGAGGGUUAUUAACAAAGCAGUUACAGCAUAGGUUUAUUACUAAAAUUGUACCCUACUUUGUCUACUCUUUAAACAGUAUUAUGGGAAAUAUGGGAAAAAUAUGGCAACAGCUUUCUUACCUGUAUGCGCUACCAUUUUGCUUCAGGGAAUUGGGCGGAACUGACAGAA